rnacentral:tRNA from 1 species
GGAGCUGUGCCUGAAUGCCCAAGGACCACUUUGAUAGAGUGACUUAUGAAGGUUAAAAAUCCUCCCGGCUCCU